UGGGGAAUCUUGCGCAAUGGGCGAAAGCCUGACGCAGCCAUGCCGCGUGAAUGAUGAAGGUCUUAGGAUUGUAAAAUUCUUUCACCGGGGACGAUAAUGACGGUACCCGGAGAAGAAGCCCCGGCUAACUUCGUGCCAGCAGCCGCGGUAAUACGAAGGGGGCUAGCGUUGCUCGGAAUUACUGGGCGUAAAGGGAGCGUAGGCGGACAUUUAAGUCAGGGGUGAAAUCCCGGGGCUCAACCUCGGAAUUGCCUUUGAUACUGGGUGUCUUGAGUGUGAGGGAGGUAUGUGGAACUCCGAGUGUAGAGGUGAAAUUCGUAGAUAUUCGGAAGAACACCAGUGGCGAAGGCGACAUACUGGCUCAUUACUGACGCUGAGGCUCGAAAGCGUGGGGAGCAAACAGGAUUAGAUACCCUGGUAGUCCACGCCGUAAACGAUGAUUGCUGGUUGUCGGGAUGCAUGCAUUUCGGUGACGCAGCUAACGCAUUAAGCAAU
rnacentral:rRNA from 1 species